GACAAAAGUGUCAGAACGCGGACAAAUAGAUUUAGGAAUAUUUGACUCUGGAAGUUGGGAGUUAGGGAAUUAUUCGCUAGGGGAAGUGACUUCUAGAGGUCGAAAUAGUCCUGGGAAAUGCAGACGACAGAAGCUGCUUCAUCUAAAUGAGGAGUUGCCUCGGAAUAGGUUAGGUAUUUAGCAAAGUCUUCGC